rnacentral:rRNA from 1 species
UACGGGGGGGGCAAGCGUUGUUCGGAAUUACUGGGCGUAAAGGGCUCGUAGGCGGCCAACUAAGUCGGACGUGAAAUCCCUCGGCUUAACCGGGGAACUGCGUCCGAUACUGGAUGGCUUGAGUUCGGGAGAGGGAUGCGGAAUUCCAGGUGUAGCGGUGAAAUGCGUAGAUAUCUGGAGGAACACCAAUAGCGAAGGCAGCUCGCUGGGACGGUACUGACGCUAAGGCGCGAAAGCGUGGGGAGCGAACAGG